ACUGGGAUAAAGCAGUGAAGAAGGGCUGAAGAAGGCCCAGCUGCCUAGUCAGCGACUGAGCUGACUUAUCUAUUCAGCAAAAACCUCCGAUGCUGUUUCUGCUACUUUCUAAUGAUUACAACAUUUUUUGAGGCAUGCUUUUUGUCAGCCAAAUGUGUAAAUGUUACAAUUAAUGUCAGUGUAGAUCUUGGAUUUUUGCUGAGGCUUGGACACUGUCCCAUGCAGAGCUUAUCUUGCCUGGGAGGUUUUCAAGAGAUGCUACAAAAAACACCCCCAAAAAGUCAGCGAAUAUUUACUUAGAUAUAUUGGAUCAUAGUCCAGUAUAUUCCUUUAUGCCUUGAGCUAUUUUUUCAAAAUCCAGACUGCACAGUUGUAUCUUAGGCUCGAGUACAGUCCUGAAAAGCAGCCUGUACGUUGCUGAUAGGUUCUGAUGCGUAUUGUGUAUCUUCCCUGAAAUGAACCCCUAUCUCCCGUUUGCAGAGCUUAUGCAGGGGCUGAGAAAUACAGUUUGCUUCCACACUGACUGCUCUACCUCUCAGAAAACAUUUGGAGGGAGGAGUAUACGUUGCUCACAGGAGCUGUGCUCUCCAGGGUGGGCUGUACCAGCACGCUGCCUGCUUCUCACCUCCCCCACACAGAAGUCAGUUGGAAAAUUUGGGAUUCUGGUGUUCAUGCAGAGUUACGCAAGUCACAGUCAAGCUGUUUAAAUCUCCGUAUGCAGCCCCAGAGGAACAUGACAGUGUUUGGUGCUGAUAAGAUAUGAGUCUGCACUUCUGAGUGCUUGCUCACGAGCAUUCCUACCGUGUCAGAGCAAGUUCUUGCUGAAGAAAAUGCGAAUACCUUACACUCUAUGACAAUGUUGCAAAUCAGAAAUAGUUGCAGUUACCUCACGCUAGUUCCCUCUGAGGCAGAACAAAUCCUAAGCAGAGAAACAGAGCAGAAACUGCACAGCUGAUGGAGUGUGAGGAGAAGAAAUCUGAACAUCAUUGUCUAAAUCUUUAUAUAAGGCUUCUAGACCUAACUGUCAAAGUUCAUUCAGCUGAGCUAAAAUACAAAACAAGGUACUUAGUGGCUUUGAAAUAAAACUAGAGAUUAUCGCAAGUGCUGCAGUUGUUCAAAUUCAGCUCCUGCCAAGUUUUCACACCACCGAUGCUUCUAAGAACAGAGAAACCUACCUUAGAAGCUUCUUCCCAAUUUGUAUCUUGCUAUUUUCAGUAUUAAAUUUAGAACAGUGUCUAAAUGAAACAUCUCAUCUUGUUUGUGGUGGCAUUCUUUUAAUGACAUUGUACCUCAUACACUUGACAUAAAGACUCAUACUGAGUGCUGCAGCUCCGUGGCAAGCAAAGCACCAUCCUGUAAAUGAAAGGAUCGCAUUCUCUUUGCAGGUUUUGUUCCUUCUGGCAAGCUAGAAGAUGUAAAAUAUGAACUGGAGAAAAAGGAGAGGAAGGAAGCAUCACACAUCAUCUAGCUAACGUAUUUUAAACACACUGUUCUUUUGGAAUGGUUUUGGUAGAGUCAUGAAUAACAAAACUGUGCCAUCAUCAGUUUCCAGGAAAUCCUCUUUCCAAUAGUUCUCAAGACAUCAGCCUUUUUGUGCUGCUCAAACAGCUUCUCUCCUGAACAAAUCACAAGGAUUUUAUUUUAAUCCAUGCAUAUUGUUUUAAGUGUAUAACUGAUGGGUUAUUAAAACAGGCAAUAGACCAUUAGCUGUGUGAAAAUUAGCGUGGAUUAAACCAAGCUUGUUCAGGUUCCGUCAGGGGUUCAAACAGCAAUGCAAGACACGUGGCCAAAUGCGCUAACUAACUGCUAGAGCCAAGAUGUAUUUGAUUUAUUGGCUUGAUAACCAUAGCUGACUUUGAGAUUGUCUAGGUCCUCUGAGUUUGAAGGGGUUCAAGUGAGGAGACUCUGUUUGAGUCUGUUUGUAUUUUAAAGGCAGAACGUGGCACUGAGGGUCAUGGUUAGCGGGCAUGGUGUUGGUGUGUUGAUGGUUGGACCAGAUGAUCUUAGUGGUGCUUUCUAACCUUAAUGAUUUAAUGAUUGUAUAGCUGAGCAAGUAUUAUAGGAUGCAUAUAUUAAAAAUGAAACUUCAACCAACGGGAAAAGAUAGCGUUUAGGUAGAUAAUGCCCGGGGAAAUCCCUGUAGUGAAAGCAUAGAAUUUAACCAUUGAUAAACCACCAGAGUACAAUUAGUUAACUGAAAAUCCGUCUGGAAAACAAAUCAGAAGUGCUAAGAAAAACUGUCUUGCUGCCUGCUGAAUUUAAUCAUCUUGCUUAUAGAAACUGUUACAGCAUUCGGUGUUAUAGGACUCCAUUUUUAAUGUACUUACAAUAUGUAAGAUACACUUAGGUAACUACAGCAUGUGUUUGUUCUACAGUUUUACUGGUGCAAGGCAAACAACUGUUGUUAAAGUGAGACUUUCGUGUUAUCAGAUAAAAGCAUGAAACGAGCUUCUAGGAAAAUGGGUUCCAGGUAGGAAAGGUGCCUCUGACUAUCACGCCAAAGCAGGCAUGCUAGUGAUAAAGAAAUAAGCUCCCACCUGGGAGAAAAGUUGCUGCUCCUCCUUCAGAGCAGUAAAGUACAAAAGGGACUCAGAAGAGCUAUGAGGAAAAAGAAAACAACUAUUUGUUAAGAGAAGCAUGUUAAUUUGGAAAGCAGAAUUAUUCAUAAAACAACCGGUACCUCAUAACACUAAUAACACAACUAGCACAUACAUAUACAUGAAUACUAGUAUAUAUACAACUUGUAUAUUCAUAAAACAACUAUGCUUGUACAAUUAGGGAAAAGCUGCCCAUCAAGAAAGGUAACUGCCUGUUAAUGAAUUGAGGCAGCUACUAUGUCACUACCAAUAAAUUCCAUUUUUUUUCUAGCAAUUUUGGUGUGGGCAUCAAAUUAACUUUUCUACAGAGGAGAAGCUCUUAUACAAAAGCCAUCUGACAGCAGGUUGGGGCAGUUCUAAUAAAAAAAAAUGCAAUGAAAUGGUUGUUGACUGAAGGGAAUGAGGAACGGGUUUCUAGCAGAGUAAACAGGUAAUGGAGAAGUUCAACCACAAGACUGCUUGUAAACCAGCACUGCCAUUUCACAUUUCUACUGUAUCCAAAUGGAUUGCUUCUUCAUACAACUGAUGCAUGGAUGAUUAUCCAUACAAUGUAGGCAGAUUUUUCUGAAAUAAUUAUACAGAAAGCUGAAGUUGGAGCUGAAUUCACAGAAUUACCACAGGAACAGAGAGGAGACUGCAGGCCUGCCCCAGGCCAUCGGGCCCGCAGGGCUACACUGAGGCGGUAGACAGCACUGCCUGCAUUUCUGCCCAUGAGGUUCCACAUGGAAAAAGUCCAUGGAGGGUGUUGCACGGAAGCCCCAGGAGACCUAUGUAAACUGUCACAAAGUUUACAGUGAGUAUCUUAUUUCCUGAUCUCUAUUACCCUAAUGAGAUAAUUAGAAGUUUAUUUUAAUACUGAGGUGUCAUGAAAACUCUCUUUGGGUCAAAGAGUGCAGGUGAGUAAAGUUCGCGGGGUAUAUUUCCUGUAUUUCUUAGCUCAAGUCACCAAGUAAUUUCUUCCUUCAGCACGUUAAAAAAGCAGUGACCAAUACCACCCAUAUGCUGUCCAUCUCCAGGAUUUCCAUUUGUCAGGUUCCACAUCAGAAACAUUGCAGAGGCAGCAUCUCUCUUAUUUUUCAGUUCUCUUUCAUAGACUACAGAAGUACUAAAUAAUCUUGUAACACUUCAAAAAAGCUUCACGUUGAACCCACAGAAAGCUCAAGUUCUGGAAUAUAGUAAUCCAUACCAGCACCUGUCUCAGGCAGUUGGUGGAAUCACAGAACAUCUUAGGUUGGAACUAAUUUAAAUUUUUUUAAAAAAAAACUAUAAAAAACUAUAUAAAAAACUAUAAAAACUAUAAAAAACUAUAAAACUAUUUAAAAAAAAUAUUUUUUUAACAGCACAGUUACUGCCAUCUCAUAUCUCCUACUGCUGAGUGCUCUAUUGGAGCUGCAGGAGCAUUUGGUCUGCAGAUCUUGAAGCCUUUUUGGCUGCUUCUUUGCCACCUAAUGGUGCCUGUAGAGCCCUGGUAAGCAAUGCUUUCUCUUUCUGUUCUCUGAAGACCUCUCUGCUUCCUGCCACUUGCAAGGAGUGGAGCAGCUCCUUCAGCUCCACUUUCCCCUAUAAAACCUGGAGGUGGCUCAAUAAGGAAGGAGUCGCACAAAAUGGCUGCAACGUACAUGGCACAUAAUAGGGCUUUAUGUCAGACCUCUAAAUUCAAGAGAGCAAUAACUAUAGCUGCAGAGAAAUACCAGAAGAAUUUCAAGCUCUCUUUCAUGUUUGUUCAGCUCUUACCCACACCAUACCUGCUUCUGUAGGGCUGGCAGAACAGCUUAUUUAUAUGUCUGGUUUCUGAGUGGGGGUUUUCAAAUGAAGACAAAAAAAUUAAGUGCUAAGGCUACUCAGAAUUUGAGUUUUAGGUACUUUUUACAUCCACAUUGCAUGACUCAGAGUACCAAGAGUUUCAUUCUCAGCAGUAUUCCCAGAAGCGUUAAGUGCUGAGAGCCAAGUUUUCAGUGAAUGAAUGGCUCUUUCAUACACACACAUGAUGCAGUAAGUAAGAACCCUGUCGAGGAUGCAGUAAGUAAGAACCCUGUCGAGACCCAGUUAGUGGGGGACCGUACCCCAAGGUCCCCAUACAGACUGUGGAAAAGUAAAAAGACCACUGUAGGAGGCACUUCCCAUUUGGAUAGAUGCUACUGACUGUGUUCUCAGAAUAGCAGCAGCCCCACAUAACAAACAAUCUGAUUUGCUUACAUCUUUUUUGAACCACAGCACUUUGUAUGUUGUUCAAGGCCCUUUCAGAUGUCAGAGAAGAUCUUCAUACAACCUAAAUUUUCUGAGGUAAAUUUUGAUUUAUUUAAAGAGAUCUGACAUUCAGAAAGUCCUGUUGCCCAGUUCCUGACAAUGAAGCCCUGGGAAACUACUGUAUGACGCUUACUCAAACAUUAUUCAGUUUUCAAAAGUUGACUUAAAUUACAUUGCGAGUAAUCUAAGCCCACUGAGGACUAGUCCUCUUCUUCUAACCUCACCCUCUGGUUGGUAUUGAUUCUUGUAACCAAAAUGGCAUUUAUAAUUGUACGGCUAAUUAAAUGGGAUUGGUAGUUUCAUUUAUUGUUUUUAAAUGAGCCCACAAUAAUGCUGCAGUAAGGCUGAGACUAUCUGAAUAUGAUGUGUUUCAUAAACCCUCUGCUCAUUUCAGACAGAGAUUAAGUAAUCCUUACUCUUGAAAUAGGAAAGUGUGUCAUCAGACAAAAAGCUCCGAUGCUUAAGAUCAUACUGAAAUAGUCAUUCUGUUUGUUCAGCUGUACAUAUCAUGAUAAGUCUGAGCUCACUGCCUUUCUGUAUUAUAAAGGCACUCUACUUUAAAUCGCUUAUCUUUUCUAAGCAUAUGCUUAAAUACCCCUGGAUAGAGAGAAAAGAAGAAAGAAGAAAGGAGGAAGGGAAUGAAAGGGAAGGGGAGGGUAGAUGUAAAGGACUUGUUGUUUUUGAUUAAUAGUGAUUAGUGAUGCUAAAACUAAUCAGAAAAGUAGCAAUGGGUUCUAAGCAGGUUUAAAGACAGAAUCUUCCUCCUCUCUAGACCCAUCUGUAUUUGAACGUGACAUCUUCCUCCUUCACAAUUCACAGUGACCAAAAUAAGAAUAUCAAUAGCGUGGGUAGAAAACCAGAAGAUGAAAGCACAAACAAAAAUAUCUGUGGUCAUGUGUACCUGUCUGAAAUAUGCAUUUGAAGAGGAGAGCAAUCCAUGUGCUGAACAGUCACAAAGAUAUCAGUCCUCUUGGGUUAAGGAAUAAGUUCAGCUAGAAAACAGGUUAGCUUCAGUGCAACAUGCAAACUGAAAAUGUUCUAUGCUUAUUAUAAAGCCAAAUUUGAGUAUGCAUUCACGUGGAGGCCAGAGAACAUCCCUUUAUCCAGGCACCCCUCCCCUCCCAACACCUGCAUCCGAAGCAGAGGGAACCUCGAGCUUCUCAGAGACAAGGGUGCCACAGUCACAUUUUUUCUCUAUCACACCCUGUCAAGAACAAUUUCUAGAUGUGUUUUAUAGUGCUUUGUAAAUAUUUGACAUUUUUUUUCCUAUGCUUGCUUACUUUUCUUUAAACUCAUAGGUCAUAUGCAUAAGCAUAUAUGACCAUAAGUAUUGGCACAGCUGUGGUUGUGUAGUGAGAAUGAGUAUGACCACUGCCGGUGGGUGGGACCUACUCAUCACUUCAAGUUAGGUACAUGUUUAAGAGAUUUGUUUGAUAUGGACACCACAUCAAAGCUCCACAGACACCAUAUCAAAGCUCCACAAAGCUCCACAGAGCUCCACAGUAAGUGCUGUGUUGAGCCAGGGCCUAAAUGUAGUUUGCCAUGUGGGGCCUUCUUGGCUUCGCUGAUUACCUACCUGGCAGCCUCGCUCUCUUAGAUGAGAACUCCUUCACUUCAGAACCUGUGUUCAGCAACUUAAAGCCUACUUUCUCAUAGUAAGAAAACAGUGAUUAUACUCUCAUGGUAAAACGUUGAAUUAAUACUCUCUUGAGCCGAGAUUACAAGAUUAGGAGAUCAUCAUAAAAAUCUGAAAACACUGCAUAUUAGGAGUUAUAACACUCAUAUUAGGAGUUACACAAACUACAAAUAAAAAUGUUGUCUGCUGCCUUUUGUAAAAUUCUGCUUACAUUUUCUUUCUUUCCUUUUAAAAUACCGUGUAACUAGAGUUUUAUGUCUUGCCAAGUUUAGCCAGGUGAGAAAACAUGAACCUCUUUUUCUUAACUAAAGGGGAAAUAUGAAACAGUUAUAGUAGCAAAGCAAACUUAUUAGCAUACUUUUUCUGCUUUUUUUCCUUCCAAAAUCUUCUGUGAAUCCAAUUUUUCCAUAAAAUACGGUUGUUCAAAUAAACCGUGGGCUGUGCAGGAGCCACCAAACUCGUGGCUUGCAAAACAAUCCUCAUAUUCCAGCACAACCACUUUAGGUCAUUGAAACUUGACCUGUGGCUGGAAUGUUGCCCG
rnacentral:lncRNA from 1 species